rnacentral:rRNA from 1 species
UAGAGACUCAGAGCUGCAUAUCAAUAAGCGGAGGAAAAGAAACUAACUAGGAUUCCCUCAGUAACGGCGAGUGAAGCGGGAAGAGCUCAAAUUUGAAAUCUUCAAGGUUUUACCUUGACGAAUUGUAGUUUAAAGAAGUGUUUUCUGUUGGAGUUUUGGUAAAAGUUCUUUGGAAUAGGACAUCAUAGAGGGUGAGAAUCCCGUAUUUGACCAUUACUUCCAGCUUUGUGAUACACUUUCAAAGAGUCGGAUUGUUUGGGAAUGCAGUCCAAAAUGGGUGGUAAAUUUCAUCUAAAGCUAAAUAUUGGCGAGAGACCGAUAGCGAACAAGUACCGUGAGGGAAAGAUGAAAAGAACUUUGAAAAGAGAGUUAAACAGUACGUGAAAUUGUCAAAAGGGAAGCGUUUGACAUCAGUGUUGUUUUCUCGAAAAUCAAUUAAAAGAUGGAUUUUGUGUUGAGGUUAUGACUUCAUCAGCUUUGCUCCUUUCUUUACGUACUUUCUUAAUGCACUUUUCGUUUAACAAGUCAACAUCAAUUUCUUUUGUUGUAAAAGGGUCAUUGGAAGGUGGCUUUCUUUUCGGAGAAAGUGUUUAUAGCCUUUGGCCUCUGCAAUCGGAAAGAUUGAGGUCUGCAGCGUAGAUCCUUCGGGGUUAGAUACAUUUGUGCUAAGUUAGUAGCCUUUCAUAGACAACUUGUUGACUAUGAUCAGUCAUGUAGGCUUACUCGCUUAGUGCUAUUUUACCUACGCUUAGGAUGUUGACGAUCAGCUGAGCGCG